rnacentral:misc_RNA from 1 species
AACGCAUCUUGCGCUCCUUGGUACUCCGAGGAGCAUGCCUGUUUGAGUGUCAUUAAAUUCUCAACUUUUGCUGGCUUUUCUUGUAAGGCUAGACACAAAAGUGUGGAUGUGGAGGAUUUUCUUUGCAGGCUCCCUUGAGUGCCAGCUCCUCUGAAAAGCAUUAGUAGUGCCCUCUAGUGGCUGACUUUUGACAUGAUAACUAUCACUGUCAUUAGUUACCACAUCUUUAUGCUGCUUACAACAGUCCUAUAAUAAAAUGGACAAAUAAAUGACAAAUUUGGCCUCAAAUCAGGUAGGACUACCCGCUGAACUUAA